GACGAACGCUGGCGGCGCGCUUAACACAUGCAAGUCGAACGGAAAGGCCUGCUUUCCCUUGUGGAUUGCGGGUACUCGAGUGGCGAACGGGUGAGUAACACGUGAGUGAUCUGCCCCCAACUUGGGUAUAAGCCUGGGAAACUGGGUCUAAUUCCCGAUAGGACUGCAGGGUGGUGCCUGUUGUGGAAAACGAUUUUCUAGUGGUUGGGGAUGAGCUCGCGGCCUAUCAGCUUGUUGGUGGGGUAAUGGCCUACCAAGGCGGCGACGGGUAGCCGGCCUGAGAGGGUGGACGGCCACAUUGGGACUGAGAGACGGCCCAGACUCCUACGGGAGGCAGCAGUGGGGAAUAUUGCACAAUGGGCGGAAGCCUGAGGCAGCGACGCCGCGUGGGGGAUGACGGCCUUCGGGUUGUAAACUCCUUUCGACCGCGAGGAAGCCACCUGGUUGGAAGGGUGGUGACGGUAGUGGUAGAAGAAGCACCGGCUAACUACGUG
rnacentral:rRNA from 1 species